rnacentral:rRNA from 1 species
GACGAACGCUGGCGGCAUGCCUAAUACAUGCAAGUCGAGCGAACAGAUGAAGUGCUUGCACUUCUGACGUUAGCGGCGAACGGGUGAGUAACACGUAAGGAAUCUACCUAUAAGCGGGGAUAACAUUCGGAAACGGGUGCUAAUACCGCAUAAUAUCUUCUUCCGCAUGGAAGAAGAUUGAAAGACGGCUCUGCUGUCACUUAUAGAUGAACUUGCGGUGCAUUGGUUAGUUGGUGGGGUAACGGCCUACCAAGACGAUGAUGCAUAGCCGACCUGAGAGGGUGAUCGGCACCAUUGGGACUGAGACACGGCCCAAACUCCUACGGGAGGCAGCAGUAGGGAAUCUUCCGCAAUGGGCGAAAGCCUGACGGAGCAAUGCCGCGUGAGUGAAGAAGGCCUUCGGGUCGUAAAACUCUGUUAUAAGAGAAGAACAAAUUGUAGAGUAACUGCUACAGUCUUGACGGUAUCUUAUCAGAAAGCCACGGCUAACUACGUGCCAGCCGCCGCAGUAA